CGACCGGCGCACGGGUGCGUAACGCGUAUGCAACCUACCUUUAACAGGGGGAUAACACUGAGAAAUUGGUACUAAUACCCCAUAAUAUCAUAGAAGGCAUCUUUUAUGGUUGAAAAUUCCGAUGGUUAGAGAUGGGCAUGCGUUAUAUUAGCUAGUUGGUGGGGUAACGGCUCACCAAGGCGACGAUACAUAGGGGGACUGAGAGGUUAACCCCCCACACUGGUACUGAGACACGGACCAG
rnacentral:rRNA from 1 species